CAGGUGAUGGUGUAGCCAGCAGCAUUCGGGCCUGUGAAGCCCGCGGGGUGGGUGCAAAUCCCACACACCUGACCA
rnacentral:tRNA from 1 species